ACUAAGUCACAAGGCAACCCUCAUGAUCCCCGGGCAAAAGGGUAGCUCUGUUUUUAAACCCGGAGGAGGCAUCUUCCCCCGGGGGUUGCCGGGCUUCUGUUCCUGUGUGUGUUGGUCUCCAGGAAGCCAUGGAGAGCUUGGCAGCAGAGACAGAGUCUCGAUAUGUCGCCAAGCUUGGUCUCAAACUCCAAGGCUCAAGUGCUCAAGUGAUCCACCCACCUCGACCUCCCAAAGUGCUGGGAUUACAGGUAUGAGCCACCACAUCCAACCAACAUCCAUUUUUAUGUGUACAUGUGUAAAGUAUGUAAAUUAUUUUAAAAGGCUGGGCGCAGUGGCUCACGCCUGUAAUCCCAGCACUUUGGGAGGCUGAGGCGGGCAGAUCACCUGAGGUCAG
rnacentral:lncRNA from 1 species